ACCCUUGCGGAGGGGCCGUAAAGCGCGGAAGGUCGCGGGCUCCGGCUUCUUCGGAACUUGGAGUUCCUCAGCUUCGCCCCACCUCGCGGCCCUGGUCCUCGGUUCCGGCCUGAGGCGACCUCCGGCCCCCGUCGUGGUCGCCUGCUCGCCUCCGCCGAGCGGUUUCGGAGCGGGAGCCCGUGGGGCCCGUGAGGUUCUGCUGACAAGGUAAAACAGAAUGAGGAGCACUGCCCCACAGCCAAGCUGGGAUGCUGGAUCCAUGCCCGAGAGGGGUAUCAGCCACCCAUUCACAAAGGCGAGGUCUGGAUGUGAGACUCCCUGGCUCCCCAUGCAGAGCAUCCCGGCCGAUGAAAUCCAUGCCCUGGGAAAGAGAGGACACGCUGAGGCGUCUGUCCAUCUGCUGGAAGACCCUGAGCAUGGGAGGCAGCACAGCCAAGCGCAGCGUCCUCUGCCCCACCCUGCCAGCCUUUGGAAAUGGUGAUAUAAAAAUACCAGCAGAAUUUCUGUAACAAGAGCUGACUGCAGGAUGACUACAGUCUGUGCCACAUGAAUCACCAGAGCCGCUCAGAAGCCGGAGCCAAUGCUAACUGUUUCCCUAUGAAGGUGUUUCACCCCACAGGUCACAUCUAAAAGUGGCAAGCAGAAAUGGCACACCUGGCUAGGGCCCCUCACCAGUAUAUUUCCAGGUGACAUCUUCCAGAAGCAAG